rnacentral:rRNA from 1 species
UACGUAGGGCGCAAGCGUUGUCCGGAAUUAUUGGGCGUAAAGAGCUCGUAGGCGGUUUGUCGCGUCUGCCGUGAAAGUCCGGGGCUCAACUCCGGAUCUGCGGUGGGUACGGGCAGACUAGAGUGAUGUAGGGGAGACUGGAAUUCCUGGUGUAGCGGUGAAAUGCGCAGAUAUCAGGAGGAACACCGAUGGCGAAGGCAGGUCUUUGGGCAUUAACUGACGCUGAGGAGCGAAAGCAUGGGGAGCGAACAGG